AUUGAACGCUGGCGGCAGGCUUAACACAUGCAAGUCGAGUGGAGUGAUGGUGCUUGCACUAUCACUUAGCGGCGGACGGGUGAGUAAUGAUUAGGAAUCUGCCUAUUAGUGGGGGACAACAUCUCGAAAGGGAUGCUAAUACCGCAUACGUCCUACGGGAGAAAGCAGGGGAUCACUUGUGACCUUGCGCUAAUAGAUGAGCCUAAGUCGGAUUAGCUAGUUGGUGGGGUAAAGGCCUACCAAGGCGACGCUUUGUAGCGGGUCUGAGAGGAUGUACCGCCAAGCUGGGACUGGGACACGGCCCAGACUCCUCCGGGGGGAAGCAGUGGGGAAUAUUGGACAAUGGGGGGAACUCUGAUCCAGCCAUGCCGCGUGUGUGAAGAAGGCCUUAUGGUUGUAAAGCACUUUAAGCGAGGAGGAGGCUCUUUUGGUUAAUACCCAAGAUGAGUGGCCGUUACUCGCAGAAUAAGCACCGGCUAACUCUGUGCCAGCAGCCGCCGUAA
rnacentral:rRNA from 1 species